rnacentral:rRNA from 1 species
ACAGAGGUCUCAAGCGUUGUUCGGAUUUACUGGGCGUAAAGGGUGUGUAGGCGGCCGGGUAAGUCCAAAGUGAAAUCUCUAAGCUCAACUUAGAAAAUGCUUCGGAUACUAUCCAGCUAGAGGGUCGGAGAGGAGAUUGGAAUUCUCGGUGUAGCAGUGAAAUGCGUAGAUAUCGAGAGGAACAUCAGUGGCGAAGGCGGAUCUCUGGGCGAAUCCUGACGCUGAGGCACGAAAGCUAGGGUAGCAAACGGGAUUAGAUACCCCGGUAGUCCUAGCUGUAAACGGUGCGCACUUGCUGUGAGCGGAAUCAACCCCGCUCGUGGCGUAGCUAACGCGAUAAGUGCGCCGCCUGGGAAGUACGGUCGCAAGAUUA